rnacentral:rRNA from 1 species
AGAUGGCGACCGGCGCACGGGUGAGUAACACGUAUCCAACCUGCCGAUAACUCGGGGAUAGCCUUUCGAAAGAAAGAUUAAUACCCGAUGGCAUAAUAGAACCGCAUGGUUUGAUUAUUAAAGAAUUUCGGUUAUCGAUGGGGAUGCGUUCCAUUAGGCAGUUGGUGGGGUAACGGCUCACCAAACCUUCGAUGGAUAGGGGUUCUGAGAGAAAGGUCCCCCACAUUGGAACUGAGACACGGUCCAA